rnacentral:lncRNA from 1 species
GCAAUGUAUAAGAAGUUUAUUUUAUUAUUGUGAAAAAAUUAAAUGUAAAGGAAAUCACCUUCUUCCAUGCAGGUGUAUAAUCUUGAAAAGGAAAAUGCUUCCAUGUUGAAGCCAGAUUUUCUGUAGUAAAACUUUUAAAACAUUAUUUUAAAAGAAUGAUGCCUUUGAUUUAAAGUGGCCCACAUAAUUAACUGUAGAUGCUCUAUCCUUUGAAUGCUCCAUCUCUCCAAUACAUUUCCAUAAUGUGUUGAAAAUAAGCUAACAUUUGUAUGAUUUUUAUACAUCUGCCAAAUAUACUUAGAUGACUUAUCUUUGUAUCUUGCAAAAGAAUCAGGCACAACUGUAGCAGGCAUGUGAAGUACAUGGGAGGUGUGUGUCUUUGAACUCUGUCAUUAUUAUUGUAAUCUAACUCGAGGAAAUGAUAAUUGGGAGGGUGCUAAGGCCACUGCAUUAAUUUUGUGUGUUUAGAAUUCUUUUGUCAAAAGAAAGCUAUUGAAUAAAUUAAUAUGUCAUUCUGGAACUUAAAAGUUUUAAAAUUAGUAUAAAACAUACAUAGGUUGUUAAUCCUCGCCAACUUGACUUUGAGCUUAACGCAAACAUAAAGAUUUUAGAAAUCCUUUGUAUUGAUGUCAUUUGCUAGGCCUGGUUUUUUUAGUUCUUUCUGAUUAUAUU